GGCCAACAGACAGGACCCUCUCCAGUGGUGUUUGUGUCACCAGAGAGCUGUACUGUAGUGAGGGGGUGGAGUACUACAGUCCCUCUAGACUGACCUGUCUCUCAUGUACGUGGGGCUAACCGGACCACUGCAGAAGAUGGGUUGACGUGCACAUGCUCGCCUGGUUUUAUUCAGAUCACAGGAUUGCACGGAAUGUGCCAGCCCAACAGUAUCGUCUCGUGAUGGUCUGUUCUGUCUGUCGUGUGUGGAUGGCUACAACUCAGCCACUGGACAAUGCAACACAUGCCCUGGGGGGAGAUCACACAUCUUGGUUGACACACCCUGAUCCUGCUGGUUCUCCCUGCAAUCGUGAGUGUGUAGAGUGUCCUGUAGGGACCUGGGCGACUGUGGGGGGUCUCCAGUGUACCCCUGUGGAGUGGGAGACUGCUCUCAGUGUAUCUCAGAGACUCGGGACAAAGUGGGUGUGGUGUCAGCAGUGGCCCCCCCUUUAUCCCGCCACCUGGUUGCUACACACCUAAGAACCUUCAUGAGAGAGCUGCUCAUUUUGCAGGCACCGUGGCUUUUAUGGGGCCGACAGUCAAGAGAACCUGACCAAUCAGAUCUCAGAUCUACAGUCACUGCUCACCAAGGUUCAGGGCACAUUCCAAAGCAACCUGUCUACAAUCCAGUCAGAGUUCAGCGGAUUAGAAUCAAAACUGAAGAUCUAGCUAGAAUUGAUUUCAGAAAUAAUUAUAUCUGUAUGACUCUGUCACACUCAUUUGAUCUCUCGAUCUCAUAACUAAAAAACUGUACACAACAGGAAUAAAAUAAGAUGCGUCAUGCAAUGUAUAACGCAUCAGUUACUCACUAUAUUAUAUAUACUGCUGUUAUCUAAUAUACUUCAAUUCAGAGUAUUAGUUCAUGCUUUCAGACUUGGCAGCACGAAUCACUUUAAGCCUCUUCACCAGCUCAUCCCUUGUCUUGCGGAGAUCAUCUGUAUCAGUGCCAACAGUGCCUUCAAGAUGGCUCUCGAUCACAGCUAGUUGGUUUUCAAUCAGCUUGGUAUAGUUGCGAGCCGCACCCAAUGACUCAAAUUCUGCGAUAUCCUUAGAAAGCUUUACCGACAAUUGCUUCCUUGUUGCUAUAGAUUUCUGCAAUUCCUGUUCAAGAUUGUUGUACAGCAUUUUAGCUCGCUCCUCGUCGCUUUCUGCUUUUUUAAAUUUGUCUUUCAUAUCGUCAGCAAUAA